UACAGGGGGGGCGAGCGUUGUUCGGAAUUACUGGGCGUAAAGGGUUUGUAGGUGGCUUGCUCAGUCAGACGUGAAAUCCCUCAGCUUAACUGGGGAACUGCGUCUGAUACUAGCGAGCUUGAGUGCAGGAGAGGAACGCGGAAUUCCAGGUGUAGCGGUGAAAUGCGCAGAUAUCAGGAGGAACACCAGUGGCGAAGGCGGUGGUCUGGGCCGGUACUGACGCUGAGGUGCGAAAGCGUGGGGAGCAAACAGG
rnacentral:rRNA from 1 species